UAAAUAUGUAAAUUAGGGAGCAGGAUGGUCAACCGCAAAAUAUAGCCUAAUUUAAUACUGUUUCAUUUCGACAGCGCAUCCAUCUUUUCUAUUAAAUAAGGGAACGGCGAACCAUCCCCAUUUUUACCACAAUAAUACGGAAUUGCAACGACGUUAUUAUAUGGAAUGGUAAAAAUCAAAUAACCCUUUAUUAAUAAAAUUAGGAUAAAUUAUUUUUUCGAAAUGUUUAACCACGUUUUCAAUCGAACGGAUUAACCCCCCGGAUCUUUAAUUAAUUCGACCGUAUUUCGUCCGUAACCGAGGCCCACCCGACCAAUUACGUCGCGCCCAAAAAUGUUAAUUUAACGAUAAUAUAAAAAGGUAUAUUCCGAUCCCCCAGCCGUAGGCCAUUUAUAAUUUUACGCUUUAACGCCUUCCAUUUUAAAUUAUGGUUUGGAAACGUUUCGGAACGAACCAAAAAGUAUUCAAACCGUCUUCCUUAUUUACCAGAUUUUUAAAAUUAUUAAAAAAGGCGGUGGUUAGGGUAAGAUGGAAACGGUUAUUAUAAACGACCAAAGGUCAGCCCUUUAAUACCCUCGGAUAACAAAAUUUUAGCGCAUAUUGGAAAUAUAGGGCGCUAACCAAAGCUAUACGCGAAAGUUUAAUUUGUAAUUUGCAGGAAAUUUGUAAAACCUAUUAAAUCUAAAUAUUGGUUUUCUCCCGCCGCAUAUUAUUUGUUGGUCCCUUUAACCCCGCCUAACCAAUUACCUUUCCGUGCAUUAAUUAAUUCGACUUGCGUUUUUCUCUCAAUAUGGUUGCCCACCCCGAUCCUCAAUUAUAUCGAUUUAAACUGGUUAUAUUAUAAAAAAUAGCGAAUAUUUAUUAUAAACCACCGACUUCUCUAUUCGGCUUUUAUAUUUAAUUACAGUUUUUGCGUUAAUUAAGGUCUGCUGCAAAAUUACGUUGGUAUAUUUGGGUGGUGUUGGCAAUUCGAUAUAAAUAAUCUGGUUUAAUACCAACGCAUCUGCGGGUAAAUUGUUAAAACGAAUAAUUAUUUAAUGGAAAAUGUAAAUAGGAAAUAAUCCGUUGGUGCCCUGGGCACCAGGGAAUCCCGGGAAACGACCGGGCUGACGAACUGGCCAAGGCCGGCUCCGCCGGUCCGCCGGACCCAGACCCGAAAAUUUAGCAAACCACAUAUAACGGUGCCGGCACGGUCCUCGGAACCAUUUUUUCGAAUAUAAAGAAAAAUUGGUGUGCAAAAAACUUUGUAAACGGUCACCCGUAUAUAGGGGAUGGAAAUUCCAAUAUAUACCGAAAAAGGAGCCCGAGGAACUGGGUCUGCCAAAACCCCUAUUGGGCCAUUAUUUGGCCAUAAAGACCAAUUAUAACGAUUUUAAAACCUAUUAUAACCGUUUUAACCACCAGCAUACAAAUACCUCGUAUAUCUGGUGCUGGAAACGGACCUCCCCUAAAUACCCGGUGCAUUGCCGCUAUUCGCGGGCGGUGUGGAAAAAUUGGCCGUGGCCUAAUAACGACCGGCCGGCCGGACCGCCAAAUCGCGCCUAACGCCGGAAAUUCUUCCAAACAAAUUUCGGGUAACCGAAAAAUUUUAAAACGUUUUCGAUAACCACCAAUUAUUUCAACGCCCGCCCCAAAACGGCCCGCCAACGCCCCGCGCGCCACGAGCGCAUUUUACGCCUAAGAACACCGAUUAUAAACGACUCGAAUUCGGGCGAGAAAUAAACUUAUUGCCUUUUUACCUAUAUUUCACGGCACAAACCGUUAGACGAACCCUCCGUGCACUUUAGGCACGGGGUCGUAUUAGUAAACUAACCCCCUAAUUAGGGCCGGGCCCGAACCCGGUCAGGCACGAUCCGCCUUUGCCUUCCUUGUUUUUCCCCUGCGUAAAUAAAAAAGAUAAAAUGCGCGCCGAGAUACCCCUCGGGAGGUUUAUUAACGGCCGGUUUACAAACCGGGCCGAGCCCGGCGUUAAUUACUAUUACUACUAUUAUUAUUACUAUUACUACUACUACUAUUAUUACUACUACUACUACUAUUACUAUUAUUAUUAUUACUACUACUAUUACUACUAUUAUUACUACUAUUACUACUACUAUUACUAUUAUUAUUACUAUUAUUAUUACAGCAAAAUCUGCCCUUUAAUAUUUCACUUAAGCGCAUUAGGGCCAACCUCGUUUAGGAUUUCCAUCCAUUUUAUAUUAGGUUUUUAAAAACCAUAGCCAGAAAAAAAUUGGAAGAAAAAAAGCUGGAGAAUCUCACAUUGGAGCGAAAUUACAUCGUCCGUAUAUUUACAUUAAAACAUCUUAUCGCAUUGGCGCGGCAACGUUAAAAACAACUGGACGAUAAUAAAGUGUUCGAAAUCCGCCCCGAAAAUACGGAGGUUUUUAAAAAACAGUUUAAAAAUUUAAAUAAUAUCGAUAUAUUGGUUCGUAAAUAUAAUAUUAAUAAAAAUAAUAUGAAAAUUUUUAAGAUUUUCGAUUAAUAAAAAAAGGAAAGCGAAUAUAUUGUGGCGAAUUUCACGGUUGAAAUUUGGUAUUUGAAAUUUUUAUAUAUCGAGCGAGGCGCGAUACCAAAAUACCCCGAACCGGCUUAUAAAUAUAAUAUAAAUAAAAUUUUGGGUUUGCCUACCGAGCAAAUCGAAAAGGAAAUGGAGGACCCUGUUUUUAAUAGUAAAACUUUUAUUUCCGUCGUUUAACCAGGUUGCAAAUCCAAAUUUCGACCCAAAUGGCCGAAUAACCCUCUCAGUUUCAGGAACCCGAGAUUUUUUUUCCUGUUUUCGGACCCGAAAUACGUUUUGGAGGAGAAAACCCCUUAAAAGGCGUUUUAAAAAGUAGUAUAAAGGGCAAAAAAGCAGUUACUAUUAAAUAAUACCCAAGAUAAUGCAGCUGUGCGAAAAAACUAUAAGGUCCAGCGAUACGUAAAAAAGAUUACCAUUAAUAAUUUACUGCUGGAAGCCGAUUUUUCCAGGAAAGUCGAUUUUAUUAAUCGCUGGCUAAUGUACAAAUUGCGCACCAAUAUUAUCGAAAUGCUCGUACUUUUGGCGGUAUCCAUAAUUACCUUUAAUUUAACCAGGAUUACAAAUUGGAGAAUUUGGUAAUAAGAUGUUGCAAAAUUUUGGACCAGAAAUGCCGUAUCUAAUAUCCCCGAGGCGGUUUUUAAUGGGCCCCGCACGUCGACGUUUAAUUUACAGGAUAAAAAAGGUGGUAAUGUUUUUAAUAGAGGAGAAGCCAGCGUCGAUAUAUUAACUGCGUUUGUUGGCGAUACCCCUGUUUUAAAUAAACCAAAUUUUGUUAUUAAACCGUUAUCGUUUAUGCAGAGUAAUUUGAGCCAAACGGCGAAACAGUAUACCGAGAGCCAAACAGCUAUUCGUUCCCUAAACCAUUAAUUCCUUUCGCGGAGAAUUUCAAAUUUUUGUAAUACUUAUAAUCGAAUUCUGUUUUUAGGGCACGCGCGCGUAAUAGGGAAGGGCCGGAACACCUCUUUAAACGAGCGGUGUAAUUUUAUACGGAGUAGCAGUAUAUAAUACGUGGACCUGUUCCGGGUAGAAAUUGCGGCCAAGGAAAUAUUAUAAUAAAUGCAAUAUAUUCUUUUUCCCCUGCCCCAUUCUUUAUUAACCUGUUAAAUUUACCCUUCCCGCAUUUCGGAGUUUGCGGGAAAUUAAAAUUGGUAAUAAUAAUACCCUGUAUUAAUACCCCGAAUAAUUCCAUUACAAUAUAUAUUUGCAGGUUUUUCAGGGAAUUAUUGUGCAAAUAAUGGAUCCAGUUUUACUGCACGUAUUGCCCUAAAUAUUUUGCUGUUAAUAUCCUAUUGUUUUACAUCCCAGGCAAUUACCAAAAAAUUAGCUUUUAAAUACCCUGCCCUCAGAUAAUAAAAUUUUAGCGCACAUUUGAGGUAUAGGGCGCUAAUUUAAAAUUAUAUAAGGGUUUAAUUAUAUAUAAUAUAUAAGAACCCUACGGUAUGCAAUAUAUAUUUGCACGACAAUAUAUAAUUUGGUUUUUUCGUCCGUUUUCGUAAAAUUAAAUUGCUGGGACAGGUUAAUUUACCGUAGGAGAACAUUAUAUAUUAUGCGCAUAUAUUUGCCAGCAAAAUAAUUUAAAAUAACGAUUGUGGUAAUGGUAUUAUUUUUUGGAUGUUUAAAGCGUGCGGGAUCGCCUGGGCAAGGGCCAAAUUAGUCUGGCAGCCGAAAUAAAUUGGAUGUUUCAAAUUAACAGCCACACCUAACCCCUUAUCCCCUCUCUGGCCCUCCCUCUCCCUCUCUCCCUCUCUCGCCUAUAGUUUCGACCUUACCCCUAUUUAAAAAGGCCCAACCAAUAUGUUAGAAAUAAUUUUUUUUUGUUCCUUUUGUAAACGACCUUUCCGCAAACGACAAAAAGGCCAGUCCAAUUUCAAAAUAUACAUCCAAAAUUGCAAAAAAGCGCCUACACUUUAAAAAAUACCUCUGCCUCUUUAUAACCACCAAAUUCACCAUUUGGUUAUUUGUCUUCGCCCUAAAAGUUUUAAAUUUACAACCAAUAAUACGCCGCAUUUAUAUAUACAGGUUAACCUCCUGGGGGAAAAGAUUUCGAAAUCGGUAUAAUUUCCGGAAUUUGAAACAUUAAAAUCGUUUCCAAAAUUUCACGAGGAAAUAGGGAAUUAGGUAAUGGUCCAUUAAUUAUUAAUUACCGCCUUGCACCUAAUUGUCCAAAUUAGGCGAAUUUACGGUUAAUAUUCGAAAAUGGAACUCAAAAAUAUUUGACGAAUUCCCUGGCGACAAUUCGACAAAGGUCACCUUCCUCUUUUUUAACACGACCGACGGUAACCCCAAAAAGGCACCGGAACCCUGGGUGCAAAUAUUGCAAUUUAAAAACAGAAAAUAUAUCAAUUUUUACCCAAACCAACGAAAAAUGGAGGCGGAGUAGGGGAAGGUGGAGCUAAUUAAAAUCUUGGACAUUAUUGCAAAAGCCGUUAUAAAGUGGAAAUUCCAGUUCCGACCCAAGACUUGUUUCGGAACAGGUAUUUGUCCGUUAAUUAAAAAACAAACCACAAUAUAUAAACGUUCCUGGAACGCAAUUUUAUCCUAUAUGCGCAUCCUAGACGAAAAACUGUCUUCUGUACCAUAUUUUCCACUUAUUAACAAACCGAAAAAUUUUAUUACGACGAAACGGAAACGAGCGCAGGGAUUUAAUAAGGAGGAUAAUAUUAAUAUAUUUUGGUUCCACCAGCAAUAUAUUCCUUUGGUGGCCCAAAAAGAAUUCCGCGUAUUUCUUACACCAAAAAACAGUUCGGGUAUGGUCUUCCACUGGGUUUAUAUUGCUAUUAACCGCGAUAACCCAAAAGUGAAAAAUAUCGUUUUUAUUACCAAACCAUCCGGAAAUAACAACGUAAAAUUUACGGGAAAUGGUAUAAUUAAAGAGCAAUUUAAAAAAUUUGCAUUCUACUAUUACGAAAGGUUGCGGAAAUUAUUACCGGGUAUAUUCUUCGACGAUGGCGUUCGCCUGGACUUUGGAGCCAGUGGAAAUGGGAGGUUUUGGGUUAUUAAAAUUAUUCCAUAAUACUCGGUCCAUUAUUUUUCAGAAACCAGUUUGCCUUGCCCAAAUAUACAAGUCUGCAAAACAUUCGCCACAUCUUUGGCACGUUCUUUAACACGUUCCAAAGUUACAAAUUUGUAAGCGGCUAAGGGCGGACAAGUUAAUAACUCCAAUAUUAAUAAAGUUUUUUUUUUUCGAUGUAACCAAAAUACCGAUCCACAGUCUUUAAUCCAGUUAAUAUAUUAGGCGCCAGUUAAUUAUUAUUAUUCCAAUACCAAAAAACAUUUAAUAAUAUUAAAAAAUCCAUUAAAAUCGAGCGGGUUGGUUGCGGAAAUACAAUUACCUUUCCGUUAUAUUUCAGGGUUUUAUAUUCGAAAUUAAAUAAAAUAUUUAAACAAUUAUA
rnacentral:sRNA from 1 species